rnacentral:rRNA from 1 species
UACGUAGGGCGCAAGCGUUAUCCGGAAUUAUUGGGCGUAAAGAGCUCGUAGGCGGUUUGUCGCGUCUGCCGUGAAAAGUCCGGGGCUCAACUCCGGAUCUGCGGUGGGUACGGGCAGACUAGAGUGAUGUAGGGGAGACUGGAAUUCCUGGUGUAGCGGUGAAAUGCGCAGAUAUCAGGAGGAACACCGGUGGCGAAGGCGGGUCUCUGGGCCGAAACUGACGCUGAGGAGCGAAAGCGUGGGGAGCAAACAGG